rnacentral:tRNA from 1 species
GCUACAGUGGCUGAGUAAAGCCUUAGACUGUAAAUCUAAGAACAGAGGUUGAAGCCCUCUUUUUGCCA